CUCAACCAGGGAAGGAAAAUAAUCAAGACAUUCUGAUAGUCUGAAGAGAGGAAUGUAAAUGAAAAAGUAAAAUAUUUUUCGAGCAACAGCCUGAACUACUCAGCCAAGAAGUGAUCCAGUGACAACACUUUAUGUAUGGCUAAAGACAUAUGCACAGUUUCUCUGGGUUUCCAUAAUAAGCAAUUUCAGCACAUAAGCUGCGUUUCUCCCUGGUCAAAGUUUCCAUCUGCAGCUUACUUUCAGAAGCUGGAAGACAAGCAGUUGUUCUGCAAGGAAGGGCUGUCGACGUCAAAGCUGUUUGAGGUAGGUCUGGAGUGCAGCUUGAGAUUAAAACUUCCCUUAUACUUUGAUCCUUUUGAGAAAAGUUGUAGUUAGACAAAAGGCAGUUGAUUAUUUUAUGUGGUUAUAGAAGUGUUUGGUUU